UACAGAGGUGCCAAGCGUUGUUCGGAUUUACUGGGCGUAAAGGGUGCGUAGGCGGCCAUACAAGUUGGGUGUGAAAUCCCGGAGCUUAACUCCGGAACGGCAUUCAAAACUGUAUGGCUGGAGGUCUGGAGAGGUGACUGGAAUUCUCGGUGUAGCAGUGAAAUGCGUAGAUAUCGAGAGGAACACCAGAGGCGAAAGCGGGUCACUGGACAGAUUCUGACGCUGAGGCACGAAAGCCAAGGGAG
rnacentral:rRNA from 1 species